GACACGACUCUCGGCAAUGGAUAUCUCGGCUCUUGCAUCGAUGAAGAGCGCAGCGAAAUGCGAUACGUGGUGCGAAUUGCAGAAUCCCGCGAACCAUCGAGUCUUUGAACGCAAGUUGCGCCCGAGCCAGCCGGCCAAGGGCACGUCCGCCUGGGCGUCAAGC
rnacentral:rRNA from 1 species